GGGAUGAUGGCUCAGUGGUUAAGAGCACUGGAAACUCUCCCAGUGAACCUGGGCUCAAUUCCUAGUACCCA
rnacentral:tRNA from 1 species